rnacentral:misc_RNA from 1 species
UUCAGAGAGGCAAAUCUGACAAGGUAUUUAACAAGUUCUUUAAGUUAUUUUCCAUUUUCUAAAUGAAUUAUAGAUGAGGAAAGAAAAUACUUUGCAAGCGUUUCCUUCUAUAACCAUUUUAAAGCAUUUCUUCUCUUUGUUUCAUUGCUUCAUGGGGAAUAGCGAGAGAUGUAACUCUUUCAUCGACUCUCAAAUGAUUUUUUUGUGAUUUACGCUGCAACAGGCACAAAGAAUAUGAAAUUAUUUGUCAUUAUUUAAUUUCCCCUUGUCUGUGCUCCUCCUUGACAUUUUUUAAUGUUCCUGUUCGUUUUAUCUCAUUUUCUUCAACCUUUCUUCAACUUAGGAAGAAGAGAAAAGAAAGAGAA